UUCCUUGAGAUGCUCAAGAUACAAGCCGUGGUUCGUGGUUCGUGGACAGUUGCGCCUCCUGCCUUGUGAUACACAUUGCGGGGCUUUAUGGGGGAGGCAGAGACGUUGAGAGACUGUCAAGCACUGACCCUGGUUCUAAUGAACUAAUGCUGACCAAGUCUUCGACUAUCUGAGAGGAAUGAGCUUCAACCUUGUGGAAUGAACCCACAGAACUAUCAGCUGACAUGGGGGGAAAUUCCCAAGAUGCUCCCAAGAAAUAUAUAUGUAUUUUUGUCACGGGUGAAGAGAUGCCAGAAGACACAAUAACUUUAAAAAGAGAACUCUGAUGGUUUGAUUAAGGGUCCCUGUGGGUAUCCUGGCCAAGCUGAAAGUGGACACUGCAAACCUUCUGUGUCCAGAGAACCUUCCCUUCCUGGGAUCUCACAGACCAGUGGAAAGGAACAUGAGAUGUGUGUGCCAGGCAGCCUUGCUAGGUCCAGCAUCGGUUUUAUUGGCAUCUCAAGGUUGAUAACCAUUGGGCUAUCUGGUAGCAGGUGAGAGGAGAGUUUCUGGGCCUAGAUGUAUCUCUCAGAGAAGAUGGAGCCUCUGGAGAGGCACAGAAGAUGGAGACACAGUUAGCUGACAUCAAGAAUAUAUUGUAGCAUAAGGUGGGCCCAAGAAGAAAGUCUCAUAGGUAAAAUGGAUAUGGACAACUAACAUCAAGACCCUUAACGCUGUCUUCCAAUACACCAUCUGUCUGCUUCAUCUGAAAGAGCUCACAGACAGAGUAGAAAAUAGGGCUGCGGCUUCCUAUCGCUUCUGUGGACUCGGGCUGAUUGGCAGAGUGAUGUCAGCUGAGACAGACUCAUGCACUGAGGCAAGACACCUGCUGAGGCAAGAGCCGCGGAGGUCACGUGAUGUUUCCAGGGCAUACAAAAAGGACUCCAUGGACAGUGAUGGAGACUGAGCUUGGCUUGCUUGCAUAGCUAAAUGCUUGUUGGUCUUGUUUCUUCACUGAUCUUCUUUUCGCUGAGAGACACACAGUGCAGAACUGCUCCUGAAAUCCCUGCCGGUCUGAAUCCCUCCCGCCUGGCUAUUCCUGCUAGGUCGUGCCACUUGCUGCUAUCCUGACACUGUUGAACUGGGACGGGACUGCUUGUAUAACUAUGAAGUGUUUGCAAGUGGAUCAAGCUGCCUUCCCCAACAGGGCUGCCUUGUCUUGCCUCAGUGGGAGAGGAUGCGCCUCAUCUGGCAAAGACUGGAUGCACGAGGAUGGGGGGAGACCCAGGGUGGGGAGUCUGCCCUAUCAGAAGAGAAGGACACUUUGGAGCUAGGACAGGCACAUUUCAGAGGAGAAUGUGGGUAUGAGUAUUGUUUGAGUAUUAAAGACUGCUGAAUCAUCUUAAUCAGACCAGGGCGGAGACCCAAUGUUUGCUGAGUAAGAAGAACAAAUAAAGAAGUUAAUGGAUCGCUAAGCUAAAGAAAUUAAAAUGCUGAUUUAGAAUGUUCUACAAAGAUAUGUCAAUGAGUUACAUACAGAGGACUAAAGGAAAAAUCAAUGAAAGAGAAAUUAAAAUGUUGAAUUU
rnacentral:lncRNA from 1 species